AUUGAACGCUGGCGGCAGGCCUAACACAUGCAAGUCGAGCGGAUGAAGGGAGCUUGCUCCUGGAUUCAGCGGCGGACGGGUGAGUAAUGCCUAGGAAUCUGCCUGGUAGUGGGGGAUAACGUCCGGAAACGGGCGCUAAUACCGCAUACGUCCUGAGGGAGAAAGUGGGGGAUCUUCGGACCUCACGCUAUCAGAUGAGCCUAGGUCGGAUUAGCUUGUUGGUGGGGUAAAGGCCUACCAAGGCGACGAUCCGUAACUGGUCUGAGAGGAUGAUCAGUCACACUGUCACAGAGACACAGUCGAGACACCUGCACGGGGCAGCAGUGGGGAAUGUUGGACGAUGGGCGAAUGGCUGAUCUUGCCAGAUCGCGGGGAUGAAGAUGACCCUCGGCUUCGAAAGCCCGUAAGUUGUUAAGGAAGUACAGCACGUUAAUACCGGGCUGUACUGACGGUACCCAAAGAAUAAGCACCGGCUAACUUCGUG
rnacentral:rRNA from 1 species